rnacentral:tRNA from 1 species
GGAGAGAUGGCCGAGUGGUCGAAGGCGCACGCCUGGAAAGUGUGUAAUCGUCAAAAGCGGUUCAUGGGUUCGAAUCCCAUUCUCUCCG